GACGAACGCUGGCGGCGUGCUUAACACAUGCAAGUCGAACGAUGAAGCCCAGCUUGCUGGGUGGAUUAGUGGCGAACGGGUGAGUAACACGUGAGCAACGUGCCCGCAACUCUGGAAUAACUACCGGAAACGGUGGCUAAUACUGGAUAUGUGCCAUGGAGGCAUCUCCUCUGGUUGGAAAGAUUUUUCGGUUUCGGAUCGGCUCGCGGCCUAUCAGCUUGUUGGUGGUGGAAUGGCCUACCAAGGCGACGACGGGUAGCCGGCCUGAGAGGGUGACCGGCCACACUGGGACUGAGACACGGCCCAGACGCCUAUGGGAGGCAGCAGUGGGGAAUAUUGCGCAAUGGGCGCAAGCCUGAUGCAGCAACGCCGCGUGAGGGAUGACGGCCUUCGGGUUGUAAACCUCUUUUAGUAGGGAAGAAGCGAAAGUGACGGUACCUGCAGAAAAAGCACCGGCUAACUACGUG
rnacentral:rRNA from 1 species